UUGAAAAAUUUGAAGAGUUCAACUUACAUACUUGAAGAAUUUAAAGAUUUCAACUUGUAUGCUUGGAGAUUUUGAAGACUUUAUCU
rnacentral:pre_miRNA from 1 species